rnacentral:tRNA from 1 species
GGUUCGGUGGUGUAGUGGUUAUCAUGUCUGCUUUACACGCAGAAGGUCUCAGGUUCGAACCCGGGCCGAACCA